rnacentral:sRNA from 1 species
ACACAAUGUUCUGUCUCUCUCUCUGCCUCGCCAAAAUCUUCUCGACUAAGCCGAUUGCGAUUCACUGCAGAUUUCCUUGAAUCCGUUGAUUGCUCUCCUCAUUUUAAUAACUUAAAGGCUGUAGAUCAAAAUACAAUCUACCAAUCCCUUUUUUGAUCAUCA